rnacentral:rRNA from 1 species
GAACCUACCUUUUACAGAGGAAUAGCCUUUAGAAAUGAAGAUUAAUGCCUCAUAGUAUUGUAGACUGGCAUCAGUUUAUAAUUAAAGAUUUAUCGGUAAAAGAUGGCUAUGCGUCCUAUUAGUUAGUUGGUAAGGUAACGGCUUACCAAGACAGCGAUAGGUAGGGGUCCUGAGAGGGAGAUCCCCCACACUGGUACUGAGACACGGACCAGACUCCUACGGGAGGCAGCAGUGAGGAAUAUUGGACAAUGGAGGAGACUCUGAUCCAGCCAUGCCGCGUGUAGGAAGAAUGCCCUAUGGGUUGUAAACUACUUUUAUACAGGAAGAAACACUGGUAUGUAUACCAGCUUGACGGU